rnacentral:rRNA from 1 species
AACGAACGCUGGCGGCAGGCCUAACACAUGCAAGUCGAGCGGGGACUUCGGUCCUAGCGGCGGACGGGUGAGUAACGCGUGGGAACGUGCCCUUUGCUUCGGAAUAGCCCUGGGAAACUGGGAGUAAUACCGGAUGAGCCCUUUGGGGGAAAGAUUUAUCGGCGAAGGAUCGGCCCGCGUUGGAUUAGGUAGUUGGUGGGGUAAUGGCCUACCAAGCCGACGAUCCAUAGCUGGUUUGAGAGGAUGAUCAGCCACACUGGGACUGAGACACGGCCCAGACUCCUACGGGAGGCAGCAGUGGGGAAUCUUAGACAAUGGGGGAAACCCUGAUCUAGCCAUGCCGCGUGAGCGAUGAAGGCCUUAGGGUUGUAAAGCUCUUUCAGCUGGGAAGAUAAUGACGGUACCAGCAGAAGAAGCUCCGGCUAACUCCGUG